rnacentral:tRNA from 1 species
UACGGACGCGGGGUGGAGCAGCUUGGUAGCUCGUCGGGCUCAUAACCCGAAGGUCGUCGGUUCAAAUCCGGCCCCCG